rnacentral:rRNA from 1 species
CGGUUGGGUUAGUUCCUGGUAAAAUCUGGCAGCUUAACUGUCAAUAUGCUAGGAAUACUGCUCGACUAGAGGGCGGGAGAGGUCAGAGGUACUCCAGGGGUAGGGGUGAAAUCCGAUAAUCCUUGGGGGACCACCAGUGGCGAGAGCGUCUGACUGGAACGCGCCUGACGGUGAGGGACGAAAGCCAGGGGAGCAAACCGGAUUAGAUACCCGGGUAGUCCUGGCUGUAAACGAUGCGCGCGGUGUUGGAAAGGCCACGAGCCGUUCCAGUGCCGUAGGAAAACCGAUAAGCGUGCCGCCUGGGGA